AUUGAACGCUGGCAGCAUGCCUUACACAUGCAAGUCGAACGGCAGCACGGGAGCAAUCCUGGUGGCGAGUGGCGAACGGGUGAGUAAUAUAUCGGAACGUGCCCAGUCGUGGGGGAUAACGUAGCGAAAGCUACGCUAAUACCGCAUACGAUCUAUGGAUGAAAGCGGGGGAUCGCAAGACCUCGCGCGAUUGGAGCGGCCGAUAUCAGAUUAGGUAGUUGGUGAGGUAAAGGCUCACCAAGCCGACGAUCUGUAGCUGGUCUGAGAGGAUGAUCAGCCACACUGGGACUGAGACACGGCCCAGACUCCUACGGGAGGCAGCAGUGGGGAAUAAUUGGGACAAAUGGGCGAAAGCCUGAUCCAGCAAUGCCGCGUGAGUGAUGAAGGCCUCGGUUGUAAGUACG
rnacentral:rRNA from 1 species